rnacentral:lncRNA from 1 species
AAUCAAAAACCAAAGCACAGCUGGACGUGGUGGCGUACACUUUUAAUCCCAGCACUUGGGAGGCAGAGGCAGGCGGAUCUUUGUGAGUUCGAGGCCAGCCUGGUCUGUAUAGCGAGUUCCAGGACAGCUGGGGCUACAGGGAGGAGAUCCUGUCUCAAAAAAGACAACAACAACAACAAAAACAAAAACAAAGCAAAAAUUUUCACCCUUUUUUCUUUCACCUUUCAGGUGAUCCCAGUGAAUUCUGCAGGCUCUCCUGUGGGAGAUGUGCCCUUCAUCCGAUCGGGGUUGCUGGGAUUUGUAGGGCCAGGUAGCUUGGUGUUCGUGGUUGGAAAAAUGGAUGGAUUACUCAUGGUUAGUGGUCGAAGACAUAAUGCUGAUGACAUUGUUGCAACUGGAUUGGCUGUUGAGUCUAUAAAGACUGUCUAUAGAGGAAGGUGAGUGGUACAGGGUUGGGGGUUGGCACUCCUAGGAGAACCUGAGUAGUGCUUCACCGAGCAAUCUGAGUUGUGUUCCGUAGAUUCUCAUCACAAUUAGACCGGGUUAAAAUAGCAGAAGUCUGGCUUUGAAUAUAUAUCCUUCAAUGUCUGGUUCUUUGGCUGUAAUUGAAAAGAAUGAGACAUAACUACAUAGGUAUACCAGAGUCUAAUUGUCACUAUUUAUUGAAUACUGAAAACUGAGAAUUCUAAAACACAAUAUUGAGCUUUCCACGUUUCUUCAAUACAGAAGUAGUACCAUUCAGGCUAAUGUAGGUAGAUACCACUCUCUAGAGAUUCACAUGUAAGAAUUGUUCCUCAUUUCUGACUAAAUUAUUACAGUUUGAAUAUAGAGAUUGACAAAGCAUCUAAGUGCUAGGAGUUUCCAUUCUGUGGGGAGGUCAGUCAGCACAAUGCAGGAACAAGCAUUUGGGCUGCUGCUGGCUUGUUUCAGCAGUUACAGCUGAAGACGUCUAUCUUUUAGGGUUUUUGUCUUGUUUUGUUUUGUUUUUACAUAAGAACUUUUUUGUACAGGUAUAUGAUGUGCUUUGAGCAUGUGCCUCCCCUACCCUCCUCUUUUGCAUUUCUUUCAUAGCCCAUAUUUAUAUCUCUCUGUCCAGU